GUGCUCGCUUCAGCAGAACAUAUACUAAAAUUGGAACGAUACAGAGAAGAUUAGCAUGGCCCUGUACAAGGAUGACACGCUAAUUUGUGAAGCAUUCCAUAUUUUU